AAAAGGGAAGAAUAAAAACAAAAUGGAAAAAACUCUAACCUUUUUUUGUGUUACGUUUUUGGUUCUUGCAUUAUUUUGAACAAAUCAAUAUCUCAACACUCUUUUGUAUCGAA
rnacentral:ribozyme from 12 species